rnacentral:tRNA from 1 species
AAAUUUAUUAUCCUAUCUUGUCAGAAUAGAAUUGUGAGUUAAAAUCUCACGUAUCUUUAAUCUAAUGGCAC